rnacentral:rRNA from 1 species
AAGUCGAACGAUGAUCCCAGCUUGCUGGGGGAUUAGUGGCGAACGGGUGAGUAACACGUGAGUAACCUGCCCUUGACUCUGGGAUAAGCCUGGGAAACUGGGUCUAAUACCGGAUACGACCAUCUGGCGCAUGUCAUGGUGGUGGAAAGCUUUUGUGGUUUUGGAUGGACUCGCGGCCUAUCAGCUUGUUGGUGGGGUAAUGGCCUACCAAGGCGACGACGGGUAGCCGGCCUGAGAGGGUGACCGGCCACACUGGGACUGAGACACGGCCCAGACUCCUACGGGAGGCAGCAGUGGGGAAUAUUGCACAAUGGGCGAAAGCCUGAUGCAGCGACGCCGCGUGAGGGAUGACGGCCUUCGGGUUGUAAACCUCUUUCAGUAGGGAAGAAGCGAAAGUGACGGUACCUGCAGAAGAAGCGCCGGCUAACUACGUGCCAGCAGCCGCGGUAAUACGUAGGGCGCAAGCGUUAUCCGGAAUUAUUGGGCGUAAAGAGCUCGUAGGCGGUUUGUCGCGUCUGCUGUGAAAGACCGGGGCUCAACUCCGGUUCUGCAGUGGGUACGGGCAGACUAGAGUGCAGUAGGGGAGACUGGAAUUCCUGGUGUAGCGGUGAAAUGCGCAGAUAUCAGGAGGAACACCGAUGGCGAAGGCAGGUCUCUGGGCUGUAACUGACGCUGAGGAGCGAAAGCAUGGGGAGCGAACAGGAUUAGAUACCCUGGUAGUCCAUGCCGUAAACGUUGGGCACUAGGUGUGGGGGACAUUCCACGUUUUCCGCGCCGUAGCUA